GAAGAACGCUGGCGGCGUGCUUAACCCAUGCAAGUCGAACGGAAAGGCCCUUCGGGGUACUCGAUUGGCGAACGGGUGAGUAACACGUGGGCAAUCUGCCCUUCACUCUGGGACCAGCCCUGGAAACGGGGUCUAAUACUGGAUAACACCGGCUUCCGCAUGGGGGUUGGUUGAAAGCUCGGGCGGUGAAGUAUGAGCCCGCGGCCUAUCAGCUGGUUGGUGGGGUAAUGGCCUACCAAGGCGACGACGGGUAGCCGGCCUGAGAGGGCGACCGGCCACACUGGGACUGAGACACGGCCCAGACUCCUACGGGAGGCAGCAGUGGGGAAUAUUGCACAAUGGGCGAAAGCCUGAUGCAGCGACGCCGCAUGAGGGAUGACGGCCUUCGGGUUGUAAACCUCUUUCAGCAGGGAAGAAGCGAGAGUGACGGUACCUGCAGAAGAAGCGCCGGCUAACUACGUGCCAGCAGCCGCGGUAAGAC
rnacentral:rRNA from 1 species